ensembl:lncRNA
AUGAACCUCUUUGUUUUUUGCGCCCAAACCCCAGUUCUGUUGAUUCAUGCUCUGUUAUUCCUGUCGACGGCCAGGUCUUGGGCCCAAAAACCGGUCAUGGGCCCAACAACACUCUCUGCGAUCACUGCCACUCCAGGGGGAAACACCUCAUUAGAACAAACCUCCCCGAUACCAACACACACACACGAUACUGAGGCCUCAUCGCAAACAGCGAAUAGCACUACCCUACCUUCACUACUCAAUGGCACCGACACGGCACACACACCAGACGAGAAGAGUGGAGACACUGGGAAUACUUCUCUGACAGUUCCAGUUCCAGUCACUGUCACCAGCCCUGCGCCGGAGAUCACCACCACUGCGCCGAAGAUCACCCCCACUGCGCCGGAGAUCACCAUCACUGGGCUUUCGUCGACGAAGCCAGUGAUGACCUCCAGCACGACUGCUCAAUCUACAGUGUCAUCGGCUGGAGGAUCUGUGAUCCUGAUUUUCAUCUUGUUGGCCAUCAUUGCUCUGGGAGUUCUUCUGUAUUACCUGCGCAAGAAAUCAAGGAGUUACUCUUUUGACCUCCAUUUCCCCGCCGACGACCAAGCCAGUGAUAACACACCCCUUAAACCUGUGGAGGUGGAGAUGGAGAGGUUUCAGCCUAAAGACACAGACAGUCCAGCGACUCUCCCGUCUGAAGUUAAUGACUGUGCUGCCAACCACCUGGGCGUAGCCAAUGGGGGUGUAGAGGAGGGACCAGGGGAGACAGCCAUCACUCUUGACAGUAGAAGUAGCGAAUCAGAUGAGUUUGUUGGUUGCGGAGAUCUCUCGAUAGAUUGCUUGCCAAAGGCUGGGUCGCAGAUAGAUUGCGUGCCAGAGGCUGGGUCGCAGACAGAGGACACCUCACAUGUCAACGUAGAAGAACAAUCAGGCAAUGAAAACAAUAACAACUUCACAGUUGUCACCAAGGUAACAGCAGGGCUCAAGGGUAGAGAGGACAACUUUACAGAAAUCAGCCUUAAUUAGGCAUUAAGAAGACAACCCUAAACAAUAACCUUUAACCCUUAACCUCUGACACCCUGACCCUCAGUUCCAACACUGAGUCUUUGCUUGCUUCAUCCUUUGUCAUUGCUUGUUGCCCAUAGCUCUUUGUUACCACGAGUUCCUUGUAUUCAUUGAUAAGCCCUAAACCAUAAGCCCUAUCCAAGAUCCAUUACUCCUAGCACCGUGCCCCUAACCUAUUGGGUUAUGAUAUGGUAUAUGGUAUAUUGGGUUAUGAUAUUGUAUGUGAUAUCUCUCAUUGAUAUAUCCCUAAGCCCUAACCUACCCAUUGGGUUCUAUGUCAAGGUUAUUUUUUGUGAUCACUUGCAUCAAACCCUCAACCUGCUAACUCCCUCCUUGAUGCACCUAACAUUUAAGCCCCCCCCAUUUAUAUGCUGUAGUUGCAUACUUUGCGUACUUGCAUGUGUCUGCAGUUCACACACACACACACACACACACAAUAAUACAUGCUUUGUAGUUAUAUCCACCUGUCUAUCUGUAGGAACAUGGUCUGUACAGUAUUACUAGCACAUCUUUCAGAAGGUAUCUCUGGAGACUUGCAUACAGUUUUUGUUUGAAUAUGAUUAAAAGAUGUAACGAACUGACAUUGUAUUGAAUUGAACAGAUAAAUUCAUACUUUGAAUUGUAUAAAGUAGUGUUGUUACGUGAUGAGUGAAUACGGAUGUGUUGUGAAUGCAGGAUGCCUAUUUGAGCUUAUACCAAAUAAAGAAUUUUGUUUUAAAUACA